rnacentral:sRNA from 1 species
AGCUAGCCCCGAUUGAACGGAAAGCCCGGAGCGAAGUCCAAUGAGUGAGGACUUGCAGUAAAAGCGGGACUGGAG